rnacentral:rRNA from 1 species
CCGAAGUUUCCCUCAGGAUAGCUGGAACUUAUGAGAAAUAGUUUUAUCAGGUAAAGCGAAUGAUUAGAGGCUUUGGGGAAGAAACUUCCUCGACCUAUUCUCAAACUUUAAAUAGGUAAGAUUUGAAGGAUACUUAAGUGAUCUUUCAAUCUCUUGAAUAUCAAGUUCUUAGUGGGCCAUUUUUGGUAAGCAGAACUGGCGAUGUGGGAUGAACCGAACGUUAAGUUAAAGUGCCAAAUAAUACGCUCAUGAGAUACCAUAAAAGGUGUUGGUUCAUUUUGACAGCAGGACGGUGGCCAUGGAAGUCGGAACCCGCUAAGGAGUGUGUAACAACUCACCUGCCGAAUGAACUAGCCCUGAAAAUGGAUGGCGCUUAAGCGUAUAACUUAUACUUAACCCUUAUCUGAAUUAUAAUAGCGGAUAAGGAGUAGGAGGGC